CAGUAGCCGCGGGAAAACGUAGGUGGCAAGCGUUGUCCGGAAUUAUUGGGCGUAAAGGGCUCGCAGGCGGUUUCUUAAGUCUGAUGUGAAAGCCCCCGGCUCAACCGGGGAGGGUCAUUGGAAACUGGGAAACUUGAGUGCAGAAGAGGAGAGUGGAAUUCCACGUGUAGCGGUGAAAUGCGUAGAGAUGUGGAGGAACACCAGUGGCGAAGGCGACUCUCUGGUCUGUAACUGACGCUGAGGAGCGAAAGCGUGGGGAGCGAACAGGAUUAGAUACCCCCGUAGUCCCUGUCUCUUAUAC
rnacentral:rRNA from 1 species